rnacentral:lncRNA from 1 species
CCUUCCCUAUCCACCCCUUGAUUAUCCUCUCUUCCUGUUCCUCAGGGGAGCAGUCAAAUCCAGCAGGCAUCUGGGACCUCAUUCUGUCUCUCCACUGAGUCUGUCUCACUUCCUGGAAAAGCAAAUCAUCAGGAACCACUUCCUCCCUGGACCAAACAUCAAGAGCAUCCUUGACAACACGCACCGGUUCUGGCUGCCGACAGACCUUUUCAGAUGGGACGAACUUCCAAUCAAUUCUCAUUUCUUCCAGGCAUCUUUGCUGAGUGGAAGAGAAGUGCAACAGAGAAAAAAGCUCAGUAAUGGCAGGACCCCAGAUUUGACCAAGGUGGCAAAAUAUCCAGCCUGUUAAUAAAACAGAUUAAUAAAUUCUGUAAUUUCCAUCUUCUGGUUGAGCAAUAAAAC